CCUUAGUUCUCUUUUCUUGGAAUUUGAAUCCUUCACUCAACUUAGGAUAUUGGUUAGCGUGCAUUCGUUUAUUUGGUUAGUAAUGUUAGCAUUCUUUGGUGCUCGUUCCAUAAUAAAGGCCCUUUUCUUGAAUUUUGUAGUUUCAUUUUUUCUUUCUUUUCUAUUUUCUUUUUCUUUCUUUCUUUUUCUUUUCUUUCUUUUUCUUUUCUUUCUUUUUCUUUUCCUCUUUUUUCUUGGUUUGUUUUCAUUUUAGGUCUUGCCUUGAUUGUAUUUUUGGAAGAGUUAUAGGUGAUUCUCUUUGGAAACCCUUGCGAGAUCCCACUCGCCCUCAUGAGCGAUUGUGGGGUUUAAAGAGCUUGUUGCAUGCGCUUAAACAUUAUUGGUAAAAUGCAGACCCGCAUUCUGAAUUCGAUUCACACCGAAUUAACCUCUUUACUAGUCCUGCCCAUUAUAUAGUACUUUUAGAAAACAACACAACAAAAACUAAAAUUGGAAAAUUGUCAUGGAACAUCCCUUCCCAAGCAAGAGAUAGACUUGUAUCUUCUAUUUCACAAUGAUUCAGUUAUUCCACAAAUCAGAUAAGGGUUCUUGGGUUGAUGGUUGAUGUAAGAGUUUGUUCUGGUUGAGUCUAGAAGUUAUUACAUACUUGCAUUUCAUAACAAGGUUGCAGCUAACAAUCAUAUAUAUACACCUUAAAUUUCUAGGACGUGAAGGCACCACUUCAAAUUACAUGUAAUGAUAACCCACUCUCGUUCCGUUUUAUUUCUAAAACAAUCAAUCAACAAUUAACCACUUGAGGAGCUGGUUUAAAUAAAGACUACACCACAAUAAUAAAUUUGUUAUUUUGAAAUGUAAACACCUAUUAUUUGAAUAAAAAUAUGUCGUAUAGUUGUGUUAUUGUUGUUGUUGUGCCCAGAUUGGUGUGAGCAGUUUGGUGUCUGCUAGUCUGUUUUGCAGACUAAUGGGGUGUUUAUGGAUGCUGGCUUCAGCUGCAGGUUUAAAAGGGGUGAUGUUGAAUCACUAUUUUGUACAAUGUGUAUGUUUUUCUUUUUUGUCUUUGUUGACUGUUAGAUUGUUUUCUAGGGGGCGUUUUUUUGUUCAGUUCUAGUUUCGUAGGUUAGUUGGUGUUUGGUUGUGUUUUUGAUGGGUUGGUGGUUUGUUCCCACCUUUUACAUGCAUUAUUUGGUUCUAUUCUUAAUAUAUGCUUAUUAACCAAAUUUUUUUCAUGUAUAUUUAUUUUGGGUCUUUGAGAUGAUCUUGGUAAUUAUUGGCAAGUGCAAAUAGAUUGGGUUGGAUGAUACAAUAAUUCUCCAAGAUGACACACGACCUUUCUUUCUUUGACUGAUCUUUAAGUCUUUUUAUUUUUGAAUAUAUUUUUUGAUGUUGUAUUUCAGUCAUAAUUCAUAUACAAAUUAUGCUUAAAUGUCUCCAAAGUAUUUUUCUCACUCUCCUUCUCAUCCGCCUCCGCCAUUGGCAGCAGAAUCCGUAUGGGCUACCUCCACCACAACAACCGCGUCCUCCGUCGUAUACAUGAAAUCGCACCAACCUUAUCCUCCGCUACCUCUCCCUUCCCAAGUACAAUCACUCCUUCCUCCAGAAUCAAGCAUUGGGCAUAAUAAUGGGAAAGAUCUCAUUGGUACUGAUGGAUUCAUCACUGGAAGGAAAAUAUGUAGAUGAGGAUGAUGCUAUAAUGAUUGAAUUAGCAUCAAAAUGCCUUCAGUAUGAAGCCAGGGAUCGACCUGACAUCAAAUUCCUUUUUACAGCAUUAGAUCCCUUGCAAAAAGAGGAAAAUAUUGGAGAAUGAUGGGAAAUGAGUGGAAAUAUGCUCGAAUGAGGCCCGUGCGAUCGCACGGGAAUUUUGUGUGUUCGCGCGGGUCAGCAGACUUGGUCCUGAAGUCAAGCUGACCGUGCGAUCGAAUUCAAGAAGUAUGCGGUCGCACAAAAUAGCAAAUACAAUGCAGGAACUUUUCAGAAUUUCGUGCGCUCGCACCAGCAUUCAGCCCGCUCGCACUGAUUCUUUGUGUGCUCGCACGGAAUUUUCGUGCGAGCACAUGAAGAAAUUUAGAUAUUUGGCUAUCUCAAGGCCGUGCGCUCGCACGGAAAUGGAGCCCGUUCGCACGGUGCGAAGAAGAGAAUCGUCGCUAAGAACGAUCGCACAGAGCUGGGGCACGUUCGCACCGAUGAGAUGUCGUAUAAAUAGAUUUUUCGUUUUAUUAAUGAACAAUGAAUUCCAGAAUUAGAUUUUCAUCAAGUUUUAGAAAGGUUUCUCUUCAAGCUUAGUUUUCUAGAUAGAUAAACUCCAUUGCUUUGAAGCUUCAAGUUGUAAUUUCUUCAACUCUUUCAAUUCCUUGCAAUUUUAAUUCAAAUUCUUAGUUCUUUGUUCUUGCUA